rnacentral:rRNA from 1 species
UACGUAGGUGGCAAGCGUUGUCCGGAUUUACUGGGCGUAAAGGGCGUGCAGGCGGUCUGUUAAGUCUAGGGUGAAAGCUCCCGGCUCAACUGGGAGAGGUCCUUGGAUACUGGCGGACUUGAGGGAUGCAGAGGAAAGUGGAAUUCCCGGUGUAGUGGUGAUAUGCGUAGAUAUCGGGAGGAACACCAGUGGCGAAGGCGGCUCUCUGGGCCUUACCUGACGCUGAGGAGCGAAAGCAUGGGGAGCAAACAGG